rnacentral:rRNA from 1 species
UACGUAGGGGGCAAGCGUUGUCCGGAUUUAUUGGGCGUAAAGAGCGUGUAGGCGGCUGGGUAGGUCCGUUGUGAAAACUCGAGGCUCAACCUCGAGACGCCGAUGGAAACCCUCCAGCUAGAGUCCGGAAGAGGAGAGUGGAAUUCCUGGUGUAGCGGUGAAAUGCGCAGAUAUCAGGAAGAACACCCGUGGCUAAGGCGGCUCUCUAGUACGGUACUGACGCUGAGGAGCGAAAGCGUGGGGAGCAAACAGG